GGUUCCCCCACUUUUUUGGGGGAAAAAAAUUGACCAGCAAGGUGGAAACUGGUCUAGCCUUUUAUUUUUUUUUUUAUUUUUGUUAGAGGUGGGGGUUUGGCAAGACGUCUCACUUCGACGAAGCCUUGUGGAGGAAAGAAGGCAGCGAAAAUUGGACUUGCUGAUACUUACUCAGAAGCUCUGUCGUCAUGAUUCCCCUGACAGAAAAAGACAAGAUUGUUGCUCAGCUGUUACUGAAAUUUGGAGCGUGCCCCCGCUGUGUUCUCCGGUUCUGCCGUGUGGGCCUGCAGGCUUUGUACAGGCAGCCUCCUAAGGAGUUACUUAGCGAACUGCGUGAGUUCCUAGAUAACAGCAAAGAGGAGGAGAAAUUAUCUUGUGAAACAACAGAUCCACCGUGUAAAAGACCCAGGCUGGAGAAUACCAAAGAGUCUGAAGAGCAGACCCUGAAUGGAAGCCAUCAGCUGGACAGUGCAGAGGAUGAUGGAAACACAAGUCCUGCUGCUUCUGAUGGAAAUAAUUCAAAGCCAGCUAUUUGUACAAUAUGCCUGGGGAUUCUGCAGGAGCUCUGCGAGGCAGA